GGCCGUGUGGCAAAAUGGUUACUGCGUUGCUUUCCGAUUUCAGGGACCGCCCCAGGGCGCGACGAGAGGCAGAGAUUGUGGGUUCGAUCCCCACCAUGGUCG